GCCCCUGUAGUGUAGUCCGGCAUUGGGGAUUGCAUCUCCAACGGGAACAAUCAUAAAGCCCUCUCGAGGCUUUGACCCGGGUUCAAAUCCCGGCGGGGGCA
rnacentral:tRNA from 1 species